ACGUAGGGUGCGAGCGUUAAUCGGAAUUACUGGGCGUAAAGCGUGCGCAGGCGGUCUUGCAAGACAGUGGUGAAAUCCCCGGGCUCAACCUGGGAACUGCCAUUGAGACUGCAAGGCUGGAGUACGGCAGAGGGGGAUGGAAUUCCGCGUGUAGCAGUGAAAUGCGUAGAUAUGCGGAGGAACACCGAUGGCGAAGGCGACACCCUGGGCCGUACCUGACGCUAAGACGCGACAGCACGGGGAGCGAACGG
rnacentral:rRNA from 1 species